AACGAACGCUGGCGGUAGGCUUAACACAUGCAAGUCGAGCGCCUGCCUACUGACAGCUUGCUCUGACGGGUGGGGAGCGGGGGACGACCUAGGCAUACAUCGGGAACUACUUCUUCGAACGGGAUAUCGUACGGAAUGUGACCUGAAGAACGCAUAUGACUUACCAAUGAAUGCACGGGCUUUUCGGAACUUGCGCGAUUGAAUGAGCGGAUGUCGGAUCAGCUAGCUGGCGGGGUACUGGCACACUAAGGCGACAAUUUGUAGCUGGUCCGAGAGGAUGAUCAGCCACACUGGAACUGAGACACGGUCCAGACACCUACGGGAGGCAGCAGUGGGGAAUAUUGGACAAUGGGCGCAAGCCUGAUCCAGCCAUACCGCGUGAGUGAAGAAGGCCUUCGGGUUGUAAAGCCCUUUUGUUGGGAAAGAAAAGCAGCAGGUUAAUACCCCGCUGUUCUGACGGUACCCAAAGAAUAAGCACCGGCUAACUUCGUG
rnacentral:rRNA from 1 species